rnacentral:tRNA from 1 species
GGACUUAAAAUCCGUCGACUUUAAAAUCGUGAGGGUUCAAGUCCCUCUAUCCCCA